rnacentral:rRNA from 1 species
AAAUUGAAGAGUUUGAUCAUGGCUCAGAUUGAACGCUGGCGGCAGGCCUAACACAUGCAAGUCGAGCGGCAGCGGGAAAGUAGCUUGCUACUUUUGCCGGCGAGCGGCGGACGGGUGAGUAAUGCCUGGGGAUCUGCCCAGUCGAGGGGGAUAACAGUUGGAAACGACUGCUAAUACCGCAUACGCCUACGGGGGAAAGGAGGGGACCUUCGGGCCUUUCGCGAUUGGAUGAACCCAGGUGGGAUUAGCUAGUUGGUGGGGUAAU